rnacentral:tRNA from 1 species
GUUGGUGUAGCUCUGUGGUAGAGUGCAUGCUUUGUGUGUGUAAUGUUCUGGGUUCAAUCCCUAGCUUCUCCC